rnacentral:rRNA from 1 species
ACGGCUCAGUAACACGUGGAUAAUCUGCCCUUAGGUGGAGGAUAACCUCGGGAAACUGAGAAUAAUACUCCAUAGAUCUAGGAUGCUGGAAUGCACUUAGAUUGAAAGUUCCGGCACCUAGGGAUGAGUCUGCGGACUAUCAGGUAGUAGUCAGGGUAAAGGCCUGACUAGCCUACGACGGAUACGGGUUGUGAGAGCAAUAACCCGGAGACGAUAUCUGAGACACGAUAUCGGGCCCUACGGGGCGCAGCAGGCGCGAAACCUUCACAAUGUGCGAAAGCACGAUGAGGGGAUCCCAAGUGCUUGCUCGUAAGAGUAAGCUGUUUUUAUGUUCAAAACGCAUAAAGAGUAAGGGCUGGGUAAGACGGGUGCCAGCCGCCGCGGUAAUACCUGCAGCUCAAGUGGUGACCGCUAUUAUUGGGCCUAAACGUUCGUAGCCGGUUUGGUAAAUGCCUGGGUAAAUCGUGUAGCUUAACUAUACGAAUUCCGGGUAGACUGCCAAACUUGAGACCGGGAGAAGCUAGAGGUACUCCUUGGGUAGAGGUGAAAUUCUGUAAUCCUGGGGGGACCACCAGUGGCGAAGGCGUCUAGCUAGAACGGGUUUGACGGUGAGGAACGAAGCCCUGGGGCGCAAACCGGAUUAGAUACCCGGGUAGUCCAGGGUGUAAACGCUGCUUGCUUGAUGUUAGUUGGGCUCCGAGCCCAAUUAGUGUCGGAGAGAAGUUGUUAAGCAAGCUGCCUGGGAAGUACGAUCGCAAGAUUGAAACUUAAAGGAAUUGGCGGGGGAGCACAGCAACGGGUGGAGCGUGCGGUUUAAUUGGAGUCAACGC